AGCCAAGUGGAAUUAGGUUCCUCGUUGGUUAUGGUCUCUGUCGGUAAUUCGACCAAGAAGUCCGCAAGCACUUGUGACUUCGCGCUUGUUCUUGGUCGGUACUCGAUAUCGUUUUCGCUAAGCUCUACCGCGCAUUUGGCUAAUCGGCCCGAUUGACUCGGGCUAUGCAGGAUCGUUCGUAGGGGAAAAGUCGUGAGGACGACGAUUGUGUGGGAUUGGAAAUAUGGUCUUAGUUUUCGGGCCGAUGUUACAACCGCGCAUGCUAAUUUUUUCAUCAGCGGGUAUCUAGAUUCGGCAUCCAGCAAUGUUUUACUGAUCUAGAAAAUAGGUUUAUGUUCGCCGCGUUCAUCCCUGAUUAGCACGCCGCUCACAGCUGUUGCUGAUACAGCGAUG
rnacentral:lncRNA from 1 species